rnacentral:lncRNA from 1 species
UCCUCAUCUUCCUCUUCCUAUUAUUAAUUAUUAUUAUUAUUACAAAGAAAGUGCAUCAACAGACGCAACAAAUAUAUAUAAUUAUACUUUAACUAAUUUCACAAAAUAUCGGCCACCUCUCACCUGUACAAAAUAACUUUGUCCAUCAAAGUAAAGACAAAUAAAAUGAUAAACAAAAAUCUGGUUCUUAAAAGCGCAAGGAAUCCAUAAAUUUCACCAUUGAUUGAUCUAAUUUAUCUAAAGCCUGAUCAUUACAUCAAAAAUACAAAUCUUGAAGGCAAGAACUAUACAAAAGAUAAGGACAACUCUUCAUUCAUUAUGAGGAAUAGUUGUUCUUCUAGAUAUUUUCUAAAAUAUAAUUGGGGAUUGAUUUCGCAAUAGUUUUGCUGCUCUUUCCAAUUUUCUAGCUUUGUUGGCUACAUUGCAGACCAAAUGACCACCUCUAUCAAUCAGUCGUCUUGACUAAAUCGAAUAUAUCUUUUCAUAACAACUUGUAUGAGCUUGCAACUUUACGUUUUCUGCAUUACCUGAAAUUAUAACAGAAAAAUAAUCACAUAUAUAUGGAUACUCAUUAUCAAUUUUAAGAGAACACAAAUGUAUAUUAUAAAUGUUUUCAGCCAUGUACAUUGACAACAACUGCUUGUUGAGUAUGACAUUGUCCAGUUUUAGAUUGAAUGAGUUAAAAAACAUGUCCCAAAGUUGUGAGCCACCAAAAAGUGAUACAGGUGACUAUUUCUUUUGAUAUCUUCUCUACACAUGCAACACAUAUUGCACAAGUUGAAGUUUCUUUUGAUAAAUAAUCAUGUGUUAAAUAAGAUUGACAAUCUACUAAUCAUGUGAAACAGGCUUCCUAGUAAUGAACCUUUGUGUCCCUCUUACAUUGAAUUGUUUUGGGACAAGAUCUCACAGAAAAAUUACCUUUACUGCUAGAAAUCUACCAUACUCAUCUCUCAUAUAGCUUAUUUCAUAAGGACAACACAGGGCCCUGAUAUUUAUAAUAGUAGUUCAUGGAUAUUAAGAUUUAGUUCUAGGCUACAACUUUCAACAAAAGACCUACUAUUUAUGUAAAAUAUGAUAGUAUAAUUGCCUUUGAAAUUUAUUUACAAUAUUUUAGUUAUCAAAGGCCAUCAUCAUUGUUAAUUAGAAUGAGUUUGACCCAAAUUAUCUGAAAUGCAUCAAUAAAAAGCUCUUAUUUAGCAUGACAUUAGAUCAAAGAGUUGUUACAAGAACCAAAGUGUGUCUAUAGAGAACAAAAGCUAUUAAAGUCGUGACCAAAUAAAAAUUCAUACACUUACCUUAUUCUCAAUUAGUAGUCGCCGACAAAAAAGGGGAACGAAAAAAACUCACUCUACAUUUUCGUUUUCCUUCAGCUCAUAUAAAUUAGACAAAGCAAUGUCAGCUGUAUUGAGAGGAAGAGAACCCAAUAUACCAUUUAUUUUAAUGCUUGUAUGUAUUUGAUUUUAGGAAAAUCAAGUAGAAGAAAAGAUAUGAAGUGCAAGUUAGAAGGAAUAAUGUCGUUAAAUUCCUUUUUAGGUGUGCAUUAUCUCACAAAUUCGCUUAAUAUAGAUAUAAGAGGGAGUAAUAUUUAGUUUAUUAUUUAGCUAGAAGAGAUUAAGAAAAACGGCAGACAUAUGUUAAUAUAAACAGUUACUUUUUAUUUUUCCUCUUAUUUUUUUUUAAAAAAAAUUAGCAAACCAUUUAUAAUUGUUCACAACCAAAACAAAUCACUGCCAUUAAAUAAUAGAAUGGACAUUUGACAUGAAUCUACCAUUCCAUUGAAUUGGACAUUUUCUAAUGGGAGGGGAUCUCUUCCCAUAUUGUUCUACAUAAAACAUAAUAUAAAUAAGAAUAUUUGUAUUAGCAAUAUGGGAAUUAAACAAUUGUACCUCCACAAUUGUGUCAACACAUCACUGUAUUACUUAAUAAAGCAGAAACAAAAAACAAAUACAAUUCCAAGAUUCAUUAAAAAAACUCGAUUCCAAAUUCACUAAACAAAUACAGUUUACAUAUUACCCCAGCAGGUAUGAUCAGUGCAAUUAAUAUAGUACCAACACUUACUAUGGAAAAAUGAGAAUUGCGAUAGCAUUGAAGAGUGAUAAAUGAAAGUGUGGAAAAGGAAAAAUGUCUUUUUAAUGUGUUUAACUUCUUGAUUCUAGAAAAGUGUUUUCAAUGUGUGGAUGAAAGAGAGCCAUGUAGAAAGAUAUUGUUUAGUUUUAAAUGAUCUUUUUGUUCACUCAACCGAUUAGCAUAUGAAACUGAUGAAAAUUACACUAUAAAUGAUGGAGUUACUUUUAAAUUUUUCUCCUAGGAUUAGUUAAGAGGGAUGAAGAUGUUUCUAGAGUGAACCUAAAACAUUGGCUAGAGCAUAAAUGCACGUAUAUCAAAGAACCCAGCAACCCUCAAAAACAACUAAUGAAGUAUAACACAGUGCAUGCAACAAGACUACAACACAGGUACUACAUAAAGCAGCAAAAUUGAAUUAAAAAUCAAGCUAAUCGAAUGGAAAAUCGACAAAAGGAGAGCUAAAACAAAAAAGAACUUAGAGCAUUAAUAAACCAAAGAGAAGAGGAGAAGUUGUUAGGUCUAGUUAGAAACUAAAAAAAUGAUGUCAUCUCAAGAUUAAACUGAGAAAACGUUAGUCCAUCAGAGUUUCAACUUUCAAUAAAUCAGAAAGUACAAACACUUUAGGGAUACAAUUUAGGCAUUUUAAAGUGAAAUUCUAGUCUCAUUUUAAUCUAACUGCCUAUAUAAUUAUUUUCAUGUCCACAACAGUUGUCGAACAAAAAACAUUGAACAGAAGCGUAGAAGCAUAAUACAUGUUCAUCAUGAGGAAGAGAAAGGGACAAUAAUGAACACAACUAAAUAAGUGAGCAAACUUACAUAAGAUAUGCCACAAUAUAUCAAAUCAGUCGCUCCCAUGUAAACUAUAAACUACAAUUCUACAUUACUUCAGUAACCCGUCAAGGACUGAGUGACAGCUCAAACAAUUAAUGAAGUGAAGCCAACAUACUUCCAGAAAUAAGCAUCAUAGCAAAUACCUGAAAUGUUGUUGUCAAAGAAAAAUGACUUAGGAAGCGGACUUGUGUGUCUUCCCAUAAGCUUCUAGCCAUCUUGAUCAAGUGAUUGCAUCGGAACCAUCCAAAAAGCUAACACAGACCAAAUAGUAGUUGCAACUGUCAAAACAAAGAGGAAAAGAACUGAUUAGGAAGCAGAAAAAACUAAAGCUCUUCAUAAGAGAAACUAUAUGUAACAACACAACCCCUCGUUUUAAGUAUUAGCACCUCAUUCCUUGAUUUGAGACUUCCAGUAGGUUCAUACAAUGUUUUGUAUUAUGUUGGGAAGUUUGGUUUUGGUUAAUAUGAUGUUUUUUUAGAUAUUUCUUUGCCCCCCUAAGUUUUACCUCGCCCCACCCUACUCUACCAUCCUAUUCUGCCACCUCACAUCCCUAGGUGUUGAUGGGUGGAGAUUGGGUUGAGAAUUCUGUAGUUAGUUGGUCCUUAAUCUAGCUGGAAGGUCAUUGGGAUAUCAAUAUAAUUUUACUUUUCAAAAAAAAGGAAGCCAAAUUGAAAUAGUAUGAGCUAGCAUUUGUUUUUGGAAUUAGAUGAAUUACCUCCUCUAUCUCAGAUUUAAUUUGUUCCAGAAGUGAGUCUGCAAUUUUGUACCUUAGAAGGUCCAUUUCACCAAAAAAUAGUGACCUAUCUCAGGUCAUAUUGUAUCAAUUUGAAGGAUAUACAUCCUCAAAUUGAUUGCAAUGACUCUCAUUCUAUGCACACAAAUAAAGUACUUGUGGUUGCUCCAAUUUAAAGCACAACAGUUUUGGCAUUAAAAUACAACAUUUGAUACUUGAUAGAACUUGAUCUUUCACAUCUCACAAAGUUUAGCAACACCAGAUUCACUCGAACUCACAGGUCAUGCAAGAUAUAAGAGUGAUGGGAACAAGGAUACAAAAUCGAGAGAUGAAAGGAAUUGAAUGUUUACUGACCCCAUGAAUAAAGCAAGUAUGAACAUAAAGACUGAUAUUGCUCCAAGUUGAAAAGCAGCAACAUAAGUCGAAUUUGUGCAGUCAAGACCAACAACAAAGAGUUGGCAACCAAAAAAUACUUGUCUUAGUACCAAGAGAGGAAGAAAGCAUUUUCAGCAAUAGGCUUUUAUUAAGUGUAACAAAACUAUGGAAAUUAAUAAAACAAAUUCAAAUAUACAAAUUUAGUACAUCAAAACUUACCCAGUUAAUUCUAGAAUGAAGAAUAACAAUACGAGCCGCUUACUCAGAGGAAGCAUCGACCUCCUAUACAUAAAGAAACAUAAAAUGCAUAUUUGUAAGCGAUGCUCACUUUUGAAAGAACUUGUACAUAUAAAGGGAAUCAUACUAAAAUUAGCUGCGAAACGAAAAGAUCUGAAGGGAACUUGUACAUAUAAAGGGAAAAAAAGAGAAACAUAAAGAAUAAGAUAAAGACGAAGAACAUUGAAGGAAGAAUAUACAUACCUAAAAAUGGCGAUAGCCUGCUGAAAAGAUGAAAAUAGCAGAGACUUGUGUCUACUUUUUCCGGUUUGAGUAAAAAGAAGAAGAACGGAUUUGAGAAGAUCCUACCAAUUUUCAUUUGCUUAAUUCCUAAUCUCUUAAUAAUAUGCAAAAAUGAGGAAAGAGGAAGAACGUUCUGGAAGAAUAUGGAAGAGGCACAUGUGGUUUGCUUAAAAAAAUCAGUUCUGUAUAAUGACCAUAGUACCCUUGAAUAAUGAGUAUAU